UCGAGGAUCUUCGGCAAUGGGCGCAAGCCUGACCGAGCGACGCCGCGUGGGCGAUGAAGGCCUUCGGGUUGUAAAGCCCUGUCGAGGGGGAGAAAGUGGAAACUUGAUCUAUCCCUGGAGGAAGCACGGGCUAAGUUCGUGCCAGCAGCCGCGGUAAGACGAACCGUGCGAACGUUGUUCGGAAUCACUGGGCUUAAAGGGCGCGUAGGCGGGCCGCCAAGUCCGCGGUGAAAUCCCCCGGCUCAACCGGGGAACUGCCGCGGAUACUGGAGGUCUCGAGGGGGGUAGGGGCAUGCGGAACUACGGGUGGAGCGGUGAAAUGCGUUGAUAUCCGUAGGAACUCCGGUGGCGAAGGCGGCGUGCUGGACCCCUUCUGACGCUGAGGCGCGAAAGCCAGGGGAGCGAACGGGAUUAGAUACCCCCGUAGUCC
rnacentral:rRNA from 1 species